GCCUGGGUGGCUCAGUUGAUUAAGCAUCUGACUCCGGCUCAGGUCACGAUGGCACAGUUUGUGGGUUCGAGCCCCGCGUCGGGCU
rnacentral:tRNA from 1 species